GUAAAACCAGUUUGACAAAACAUCUAAUAUUUACAAACAUAAUACGAAAUUGAUUUAGGCACAGGAGUUUCGAAGAGAGAAAAAUAGAAGAAAAUCAUGUUGAAAUCGUUUUUAGAUGUUUCCAACCCGGAUACGUUGAGCUAUUGUUUUGGUUUGAGAACCGGUUGCAUAUUUUUCGCACUGUUUGGAGCUCUGCUAUGGUGCUCCGACAUGUUGUUCGACAAGAGAUACAAGGUCAUCGUAUUGGUGAACGAAGCCAGGCACAAAGUUAUGUAUAUAGUCGUGUUUUGUUUAUACCUGAUAUGUUUACUUGCUUUUAUUAUACAUAUUAGCAGAUA